UUCAUUCGCUCCCGGAAUCUGAGAAUGUCACCAGCCGGAGGGGCCCCGCAGGAGAGCCCGCGUCGGGGCUCAGACCUAGAGAAGGUGGGGGGCUUCGGCCAAGGUCGUCGGCGCUCAGGGCCGGACGUCAGGGCUUCCCUCAUCCGCACGUUUCCCCCCAAAUCCCUACCACUCGCCAAAGCUUCGUUGAGAAACAACAUUGAGGCUUGACAGAAUUGAGGCCAAGCCCUGUAUCUGGUUGAUCAGAUCACAUUCCUCAAUAGCCCCAUCAGGCUGGUGACAUUACUUACCCACUUUCUGGAGCAGGAGAGCCCAGAGACGUCCAGUUAUUUGACCAACGUGGCACAGCUAGUAACUUGUAGAGCUGGGACUUGAACCUGGGCCUAGUGGCUCCAGAGGGAUGCUCAUUUGAGCUCGGCUCUGCGGAGUGUGUGGUUAAGAGAAAAGGCAAAGAGACCAGCAGUUAAAAUCCAGAGCGGUGUGGAAAACGCCUAGAACACAGAACACCAUAAACUAUUUGGGAAUCCAAAGGAAACAGAAUGAUUGUCCCCCCAGAUAUUUGUAAAGACUUCCUGGAGGAGGUGAUCCUGCAGUAGAGAGGAGUCCCUGCCACUUCCCUGCUCACACUCCUCAGCCCUUAAUCUCUUCCUGGGAGCCCCUGCUGCCACAUCUUCUGAGCUGCAAGGCCCCUGCAAUGGACCCCCAGGCCCUGUGCUGGCUGUCCUGUUUCCUGCUCAUCUGUGUCAUUUCAGACCCAGAGGAGCUCUUUGUCCCCACCGAGGAUUAGGAGGUGGUACAGUUGCGCAGCCAUCAACCAGUCCUACUUCCCUGCCAGACCCGUCUUCCUCCCCCAAACCCACCAUCCAAGCUUCAGCAACAUCAGUUCAACUUGGAGAGAACUUCAGCGUGACCUGUAUGGCUCUGGGUGAACCGGAGAUUGCUGUGGACUUUAUCUGGGAAUAUCCAGGGCAGAAGGCCCUUGUGAAAGUAAGAGUGUCAAGUCUGGGCCCUUGAAGAGGGCCUGGCCUUUCCUGUUGCCCAGACCCUGACUUCCCUGGAGAUCUGAGAAGGGAAAUCCCUCCCUGCCACCUACCUGGAUGUGCUUCUUAUAGUCUCGGCUCAGAAUGGACUCUUCUACCCUCUUCAUCUUGGCCUGGAAGACCUCCAGCUGUGACGACAGUUCAUCAAUGGUCUCCUGGAGAAGGGAGUGGGAGGGAGAUGGUCAAAGUCUGGUUCAUAAAGGCUGUGGUGGACAUCUGCAUAUCCCAGCGAGGGGGCAGUUUUGGGUUUUUCCAUCUAUCUUCACUCUGCCCUCCCCAAUAAUGCAGGUUUGAUUUGCUGCAACCACUGCUUGAAACACACCUGCCCCGUCUCUCGUCAUAGAGCCUUCAAGGACUCCCUCUGCCCUCAGGGACGAUGUCCCAGUGUUCAAGGCUGGUGGUGCUAACUUGGCAUUCAAAGCUCACCUGAACAGGGCUCUGCACUUUCCCAGUCUUCCCUCUCACUGCUUCUGUGGCCAGGCACCUGCCAGUCCUCCCGCUGCCAGGGACAUCCCUGCCUCCUACUUUCUCGCACCCAAACCAAACCUGGUCCAUGACCUUCAGGAUAGAGCAGGCCUUUCAUAUGGCUCACGGGCCCCAGCACUUGGCCCUCACCUCCUCCCCAACCUUACUUCCCUCCCACUCAUACUCUUCAUCUUAGACUUCUUUCAGUUCCACGGGCAAUCCAGAUUUUCCUUUUUUCUCCAUGUCUUUAAGCACACUGUUUUUUUUCUGCCUAGGGCACUCUUUUUACCCCUCUUCAUCUGAAGAAUUCCAACCUACCCUUCAGGUUCCAGCUAAGAUUUCAUCUUUCUGGGGAGUCCCUGACCUGAUAAACUGGCUCAGAGGCCUUCCUUCGUGCUCCCACAUGCCUGCCUGUAUCCACCUGGCAGCCCAGUCACAAUGUGGUACCCCAAGAUCCUCCAACAACAGUCCUCAGAGAAAUAGGCCAAUCCUAAUCUCAGACCAAGUCCUCCUGAGCUAAUAGCCCCAUCACCACAUCAAGGGGCUGGAUACACAGAAGACACUCACUUAUGCCCCUCACAUCUAAGUAGAGGCCAUGCUACUUUCCCUCAGGGCCUCCCCUCCCCCACAGAGUCAGCCAUGGCCUACCCUCUCACCUGCAAGGUCGCCUUGGCCUCCUCAAAGGACUGGGUAAGGGCUUCCUUCUCCUGCUCAUGUGAGGCCCGGAGGACUGCAGGGAAAGGAGACCUCUGUGAGCUCAGACACCCAGGCCCUUUACCCGAAAGCCUUCUGGGAGGUGCCAUGAGGGCCGGAGAACCUGGGUGAUCAGCUGGGGCCCACAGGGGCCAGGGGUCUGGGGAUGGUCUUAUUCAUACUUCCUUUCCUGGGCUUGCAGCUGUGCCAGAAGCAUAGUAGAUAUUAAUUAAAAGCUUGUGGAAAUGGAAACAAGUUGUAUCUUGAGAGGAACUGUGAACCCUACCAGAGUAUGGGAGCCACCCACACCUCACUUUGGCUAAGACCCUGCAGUAAGCUUGUCCAUCUUGUUCACCAUGCCCUCAUAUGCAGAGGGUCAAUGUUUUGUAAGCUGGGUUACCCAAACUUUGAAACAAUUAAAUCGUUACUUAUCGAACCUUAGCAUAAAACUGCAGUAAGUACACUUGAUUUGCCACCCAGAAAUCUAUGUCGUCCUGGUUCUGCUUCUUCACAACUGAGGAACCUUGAGAGGAUCACUUCAAAUAUUGAAAAGUUCUAUUGCCUCAACUGUGAAAUGAGUUGUUCUAAGGGAUGACUCAAGGAUGACAUGAGAAAACAACAUACCUGGGCU